CUACGGGCGGCUGCAGUGGGGAAUCUUGCACAAUGGGCGCAAGCCUGAUGCAGCCAUGCCGCGUGUGUGAAGAAGGCCUUCGGGUUGUAAAGCACUUUCAGCGGGGAGGAAGGCGGUGAGGUUAAUAACCUCAUCGAUUGACGUUACCCGCAGAAGAAGCACCGGCUAACUCCGUGCCAGCAGCCGCGGUAAUACGGAGGGUGCAAGCGUUAAUCGGAAUUACUGGGCGUAAAGCGCACGCAGGCGGUCUGUCAAGUCGGAUGUGAAAUCCCCGGGCUCAACCUGGGAACUGCAUUCGAAACUGGCAGGCUAGAGUCUUGUAGAGGGGGGUAGAAUUCCAGGUGUAGCGGUGAAAUGCGUAGAGAUCUGGAGGAAUACCGGUGGCGAAGGCGGCCCCCUGGACAAAGACUGACGCUCAGGUGCGAAAGCGUGGGGAGCAAACAGGAUUAGAUACCCGGGUAGUC
rnacentral:rRNA from 1 species